rnacentral:misc_RNA from 1 species
ACGGCCAGUUCCAGCGAAAGCGCUAGAGAAAAGUGCUAAAGGGUAUAUACAUAUAGAUAUAUAUAUAUAUAUAUUAAGGAUGAGAUUGAUUUGUGUAACGCUGCUGCUGCUUGGCGGCGCACUGUGCAGCGCCCAGGAUGCGUCGCCGGGUGCCAGUGUCGUCAGCGGCGCGGAGGCAGCUGCCGCCGCGGAUAGCCUAACACCUGGCAAUGCCAAUGAUACGGCCGAUGAGAGGCCGCGCAUACCCACACAGGAAGAGUUACUUGCCCAGAUGCCGCCCCUGCAGCCCCUGAACACAGGCAUACCCUCACUGGAUGCGUUCUAUUUAAUGUUCCCGGCUCUGAGCAGCCUCCUGCGCUGGGGCAGCCUAUUUCCGGCGCAGUCGCUGCUCGGUGCCAUGCCGGACACACUGCAGCCGGCCGCUUCGAAGGUGGUGCUCGUGCUGGCGGACGAAGCCAAUGGACACAAGUCGCGUGUAACGCGUCAGGAUGCAACCGCACAGCCGGCGCCAGCUGCAGCGGCACCAACAGCGAUGAACGGACCUGCUAUGCUGCAGCAAAUGCAACAGAUGCUUGGACAGAUGCCGCCUCCGAAUCUGGGCCAGAUGUUGCCACAAGUGCCCGCCGGCUGGCUGCCGGAUGGCUUUACGCUAGGCCAAAUGCCGCCGUUGCCGGAUAACUUUAAUCUGGGUCAAAUGCCGCCACUGCCGGAUGGCUUCAAUCUUGGCCAAAUGGCGCCCGUUAUGCCCAACUUUGGUCUGCGUCCGCUGGAGAGCCUGCUCGGCCAGGCGCCAGUCGCGCCCGCCACCACAGCUGCGCCGCCGGCAGCCAAGCCAGCUAGCGAGUCGGAGCCGGCGCCAGCGCCAGCAGUGGGUCAGGCGCCGCCGGCGGCAGGUGCCGGAUUCGGUGCUCUCUUCGAUGGCAGCAACAAUCUGCUGGGCCAGGCCUUUAGUGGCAUGCCCGCAGCGCCCACGCCGGACGCCUUCAUGGCUGGCCUGCGCCAGUUCUGGCCGGGCGCAGCGCCGCCGACUGGCGACAGAAGCGCCCAGGCCUCCGAUAUAUCGGAGGUGCGCGUCAAGCCGGACAACCACAACCAGGACACGAUCGGCUAUCGGGCCCCGCAGCAGGCGCACGCACAGCUCGCUCAAAUGAAGAUCAAGUCAGCGCUGCAGCUGGAGCAGGAGAAGCAGCGCGUGCCGCUGCUCUGGUUCCGCAUGCCCAGCUCCGAGACGCAACAGUCUAAGUCCACGGAACGUGCACAGAUCGAGUCCAAGCUGCAGGCCUUCGAGCAGCAGGUAAUCGCCGAGCUACAGCAGCUUCAGCAGAUCGAGCGUAUGGCGCGCGAGAUGCGCGCGAAUGCCCAGGGUGAAACGCCCGCCUACAAGCUGCGCUAUCCGCUGAGCCGCACGCCUGUCCACAAGAUCACUCGGGCGGACAUUGAGCGCGCCCUGCGCGACGACUAUGUGCGCCGACUGCUGCAGAAGGAGGCGCAGCGCAAGACGAACUUUAAGCGACAGACGCAGCAGCAGCCGGAGCAGCUGCUCACCAAGGAGGACAUUGUCAAGGUCAUGGCCUAUGCAUAUCGCAUGGCCAACGAAAAUGCCGAACGCAAGGCCAAGGAAGAGCAGUGGGAGCUCCAGCAGCAGCAGCGUCAGUGGACGGAGGAUCAGGCUAAGGCGCAGCAGCAGCAGCAGCAGCAGCAGCAGGCAAAGGAUCAGCAGAAUGACAUGAUGAUGCGCCAGUGGACGGAGGAUAAGGCCAAAGCGCAGCAGCAGAUGAUGCAACAGCAGCCGAAUCCCAUGAUGAUGCGUCAGUGGACCGAGGAACAGAUGAAGGCCCAUCAGCAGGCAAGGGACCGACAGAAUUCCAUGAUGAUGCGCCAGUGGACGGAGGAUCAGGCCAAGGCCCAGCAGCAGAAUACCAUGAUGAUGCAGCAACAGAAUCCCAUGAUGAUGCGCCAAUGGACAGAGGAUCAGGCCAAGGCACAGCAACAGGCAAAGGAUCAGCAAAUGCGUCAGUGGAUGGAAGAUCAGGCCAAGACACAGCAGGCCCAGGAGCAGCAACGCCAGUGGACUGAGGAUCAGGCCAAGGUACAGCAGGCGAUGCAGCAACAGAAUCCCAUGACGAUGCGCCAGUGGACAGAGGAUCAGGCCAAGGCACAGCGGGAGCCGCAGGAGUUUCAGCAACAGAUGCCCAUGAUUAUGCAGCAACAGAAUCCCAUGAUGAUGCGUCAAUGGACAGAGGAUCAGGCUAAGGCACAGCAGCAAGCAAAGGCGCAACAGGAGAUGCAACAGCGUCAAUGGACAGAGGAUCAGACCAAGGCUCAGCAACAGGCCCAGGAACAGCAGCGUCAAUGGACCGAGGAGCAGGCCAAGGCGCAGCAGCCGCAACAGAUGUCUGAAAAAUCCAUGGAACAGGCAGCCGAGCGCCAGUGGGCGGAUGAGAAGAUGCACGCCAUCCAACAGCAGCAGCAGCAGGAGCAACCGGAUGAGGAAUCUUCGGUGCUGGGCGAGGCCAAGCCGCAGAUGCCCGAAAACGCUGGCCAGGCACGGCACAAAGUGGACGCGCUUGGCCUCGGCGGCGAUCAUCGCAAGAAAUCCAAAUCCCAUUCGUCGCCCACCGUCAUAAACUACUACCACAGUGCUCCGGCCGGUUACGGCCAGGGCUACGGACAGAACUACGGCCAGGGCUACGGACAGAGCUACGGCCAGAGCUAUGGCCAAAACUCUGGACAGGGCUACGGUCAGGCCUACGGACAGAGCUACGGCCAGACCUAUGGCCAGAGCUCUGGACAGGGCUAUAGACCGAGCUAUGGAACCAGCUACGGCGGCGGCGGGCAAGGAUCCAAUGCAUAUGGCGGCUAUCGUGCGGCCGUUGGCAACGACGAGAUCGACUCCAUGCUGCGCCAGCAUCAGGUCAUGGCGGCGACGCAUUUCAGACAAUAAAAUCCAACAACAACGACAACAACAAGGAUGAGCAGCUGACCAGCGGGAACAGCAGCUCCUCCGCAUCUCCCCCAACCCCGUCCGCGCCCAGCAGUCAUCACAUUGAGAAAAGUCAGUCAUCAGCAACCGCACCCGCAUCAGCAUCAGCAUCAGCAUCCACAUCAGCAUCAACAACCGCAUCCAUAGCCGACGUCGACGAGGCCAAUGUGGGCGCUCCACUUGGCCUGAAAGAGGGCCUGCUGCGGCCCUACAUGGGCCUUCUGCCGAUCGAGCAGCCGAACGAUCCCUGGACACAGAAAGCCUAUAAUCCGCAUUAUCCUUUGUAUAGCGGCGGUGGCAGCUAUGAGACGUAUCUGAGGCCGCGCCGGGACACGCACAUUAUGGCGCGCAGCCAGCCGCUGCUGACGCCCGGCAUGCUGGAGCGCCUGCUGCGCAUCAAGGCGGAGUUUCAGAAACGUUUUCCCCAUCUCUACCAGAGCAUGCUCAAUCAUCAUACGAAUCAGACGCGUGUCGUGGUUAAGCCGCCGCUGCUGGUCCGUCUAUCCAGCAAUCGGGCUAGGCAUAGCGACGAGCCGAUCCUUGAGCUGGGCGCCGCCGAGCGCGGUCUCUUUGAUGAGGAGCCGGACGAGGAGGAGGAGCAGGCAGACAGUGUCGAGCAGCCGACCACCGAGAAGAACGAGUCCAGCGAGCUUUUCAAUAAAAAGGAUGACCUUGAUGGCGAUGUCGACUAUUUCCAUUUCGAGGAUAACGAUGACAACGUUGAUAACGAUAACGAUAACGAUAACGAUGCUGAUAUUAUUGACGAUUAGAUUAUGGUUAUUUUAAUUAUGCAUAUCCCCUUGGACAGAAUCACUAAAAAUGUACAGAAGAAAA